rnacentral:rRNA from 1 species
UGGGGAAUUUUGGACAAUGGGCGAAAGCCUGAUCCAGCAAUGCCGCGUGUGUGAAGAAGGCCUUCGGGUUGUAAAGCACUUUUGUCCGGAAAGAAAUCCUUGGCUCUAAUACAGUCGGGGGAUGACGGUACCGGAAGAAUAAGCACCGGCUAACUACGUGCCAGCAGCCGCGGUAAUACGUAGGGUGCAAGCGUUAAUCGGAAUUACUGGGCGUAAAGCGUGCGCAGGCGGUUUGCUAAGACCGAUGUGAAAUCCCCGGGCUCAACCUGGGAACUGCAUUGGUGACUGGCAGGCUAGAGUAUGGCAGAGGGGGGUAGAAUUCCACGUGUAGCAGUGAAAUGCGUAGAGAUGUGGAGGAAUACCGAUGGCGAAGGCAGCCCCCUGGGCCAAUACUGACGCUCAUGCACGAAAGCGUGGGGAGCAAACAGGAUUAGAUACCCUGGUAGUCCAGCGCCCUAAAACGAUGUCAACUAGUUGUUGGGGAUUCAUUUCCUUAGUAACGUAGCUAACGCGUGAAGUUGACCGCCUGGGGAGUACGGUCGCAAGAUUAAAACUC